rnacentral:rRNA from 1 species
AGAGUUUGAUCCUGGCUCAGAAUGAACGCUGGCGGCGCGCCUAAUACAUGCAAGUCGAGCGAGAAGACGUAGCAAUACGUUUGUAAAGCGGCGAACGGGUGAGGAAUACAUGGGUAACCUACCCUCGAGUGGGGAAUAACUAGCCGAAAGGUUAGCUAAUACCGCGUACGCUUCUUGGACUUCGGUUCAGGGAGGAAAGCGAUACCGUGGGUAUCGCGCUCUUGGAUGGGCUCAUGUCCUAUCAGCUUGUUGGUGAGGUAACGGCUCACCAAGGCUUCGACGGGUAGCUGGUCUGAGAGGACGAUCAGCCACACUGGCACUGCGACACGGGCCAGACUCCUACGGGAGGCAGCAGUAAGGAAUAUUGCGCAAUGGGCGAAAGCCUGACGCAGCGACGCCGCGUGGGGGAUGAAGGUCUUCGGAUUGUAAACCCCUUUCGGGAGGGAAGAUGGAAUGGGGUAACCCAUUUGGACGGUACCUCCAGAAGCAGCC